AUUGAACGCUGGCGGCAUGCCUAACACAUGCAAGUCGAACAGAGGUAGGGGCAACUCUACUUCAGUGGCGGACGGGUGAGGAAUGCGUCGGAAUCUACCCUAUGGUGGGGGAUAACACAGGGAAACUUGUGCUAAUACCGCAUAAUGUCGAGAGACCAAAGCAGGGGACCGCAAGGCCUUGCGCGAUAGGAUGAGCCGACGCCCGAUUAGCUAGUUGGUAGGGUAAAGGCCUACCAAGGCGACGAUCGGUAGCUGGUCUGAGAGGAUGAUCAGCCACACUGGGACUGAGACACGGCCCAGACUCCUACGGGAGGCAGCAGUGGGGAAUAUUGGACAAUGGGCGCAAGCCUGAUCCAGCAAUGCCGCGUGUGUGAAGAAGGCCUGCGGGUUGUAAAGCACUUUUGUUCGGGAAGAAAUCAUGCUGGUUAAUACCUGGUAUGGAUGACGGUACCGAAAGAAUAAGCACCGGNUAACUUCGUGCCAGCAG
rnacentral:rRNA from 1 species